ACUCAAAUGAAUAGACGGGGGCCCGCACAAGCGGUGGAUCAUGUGGUUUAAUUCGAAGCAACGCGAAGAACCUUACCUGGAUUUGACAUCUCCGGACAGCCGUAGAAAUACGGUUUUCGUAGCAAUACGACCGGAAGACAGGUGCUGCAUGGCUGUCGUCAGCUCGUGUGGUGACAUGUUGGGUUAAGUCCCGCAACGAGCGCAACCCCUAUCUUUAGUUGCCAGCAUUAAGUUGGGCUCUCUAGAGAGACUGCCGUGGUUAACACGGAGGAAGGUGGGGAUGACGUCAAGUCCUCAUGGCCUUUAUAUCCAGGGCGACACACGUGAUACAAUGGACGGUACAGAGGGAUGCAAAAUCGCGAGAUCAAGCAAAUCUCAAAAAACCGUUCUCAGUUCGGAUUGGAGUCUGCAACUCGACUCCAUGAAGUUGGAAUCGCUAGUAAUCGCGGAUCAGCACGCCGCGGUGAAUACGUUCCCGGGCCUUGCACACACCGCCCGU
rnacentral:rRNA from 1 species